GAGAGGAGCUUGGGAACGGUUGCUAGGGGUGGGUAAUGGGUAAAAAAAGGGGGGCGCCGGGGAGCGGAUAAGGAGGGUUAAGGGAGGGGGCGAGGGUGGGGAGCAAUGCAAAAGGUAAGGCCAGGUUACCGCGGCUCGGCCCCGAGUGGGCUGCGGCCGGGGGAGGGGCGAGAGAUACAUAUGUAUUUCUGUCUCCCUAGCACACCCCCUUCCCUCUAAGCGAUGGCUGAGAGGCGGUGCAUGCAGAUGGGGAGUAAGUUUCCUGAAGGGGAGGGUGGAUGCACGCGCGCGGCCCCGCGCUGCAAAUUUCCACCGGGGAGGGAGAGUGGCUGGAUGCGGAGAGUUUGGAGUUGCUUGCAGCGGAGGGCAGGAAGGGGAGCAGGGCCGGGAAAGGGGGCUGGCGGGCGCUAUAUCUGGGAGUAAGUUUCCAGGAACGGGAGAGCCUGCACGCUUGCUCGCUAAACCAGGCCUCCUCUCCCCACCUGCCCAGCAGCAUGAGAGCAGCAUGACUGGCCGGCCACAGGAGAAGCCCCCAGAGCCAGGCCCCCAUCUCAACCAGCUGCUGCAGAAGUCAAGGUGUGAGCAGCAUCUCUUCACCACGGUGGCAUUUGGUCCGUCCCUUAGCCCGGGUGAGGAUGUAAAACCCCUCGCUCUGCACAUGCGUGGUAGAGGCCAACAGGAACACCUGGCUGCAGCCACGGUCACGGACAUGUCAGCCGUGGAGUAGUGUGGACACUUUCUCUCUGCUUCUCAGGGUUUCAGUCCUUUCGGGUUUGUGUCAUUGACCUUUUUGUAUGGUUUUGUGGCUGGACGU
rnacentral:lncRNA from 1 species